rnacentral:rRNA from 1 species
UACGGGGGGGGCAAGCGUUGUUCGGAUUUAUUGGGCGUAAAGAGCGUGUAGGCGGCCAGGUAGGUCCGUUGUGAAAACUGGAGGCUUAACCUCCAGCUGUCGAUGGAAACCAUCUGGCUAGAGUCCGGAAGAGGAGAGUGGAAUUCCUGGUGUAGCGGUGAAAUGCGCAGAUAUCAGGAAGAACACCCGUGGCGAAGGCGGCUCUCUGGGACGGUACUGACGCUGAGACGCGAAAGCGUGGGGAGCGAACAGG